CUUUAAGGGUCCUGAAGGGACGUUGAAGACGACGACGUUGAUAGGCCGGGUGUGUAAGCGCAGCGAUGCGUUGAGCUAACCGGUACUAAUGAACCGUGAGGCUUAACCUUACAACGCCGAAGGUGUUU
rnacentral:rRNA from 1 species